rnacentral:rRNA from 1 species
AGUGGCGGACGGGUGAGUAACGCGUAAGAAUCUAACUUCAGGACGGGGACAACAGUUGGAAACGACUGCUAAUACCCGAUGUGCCGCAAGGUGAAACCUAAUUGGCCUGGAGAAGAGCUUGCGUCUGAUUAGCUAGUUGGUGGGGUAAAGGCCUACCAAGGCGACGAUCAGUAGCUGGUCUGAGAGGAUGAGCAGCCACACUGGGACUGAGACACGGCCCAGACUCCUACGGGAGGCAGCAGUGGGGAAUUUUCCGCAAUGGGCGAAAGCCUGACGGAGCAACGCCGCGUGAGGGAGGAAGGUCUUUGGAUUGUAAACCUCUUUUCUCAAGGAAGAAGUUCUGACGGUACUUGAGAAAUCAGCCUCGGCUAACUCCGUGCCAGCAGCCGCGGUAAUACGGGGGAGGCAAGCGUUAUCCGGAAUUAUUGGGCGUAAAGCGUCCGCAGGUGGUCAGCCAAGUCUGCCGUCAAAUCAGGUUGCUUAACGACCUAAAGGCGGUGGAAACUGGCAGACUAGAGAGCAGUAGGGGUAGCAGGAAUUCCCAGUGUAGCGGUGAAAUGCGUAGAGAUUGGGAAGAACAUCGGUGGCGAAAGCGUGCUACUGGGCUGUAUCUGACACUCAGGGACGAAAGCUAGGGGAGCGAAAGGGAUUAGAUACCCCUGUAGUCCUAGCCGUAAACGAUGGAUACUAGGCGUGGCUU